AGUAGUUUGAUCCUGGCUCGAGGACGAACGCUGGCGGCGUGCUUAACACAUGCAAGUCGAGCGGUAAGGCCCUUCGGGGUACACGAGCGGCGAACGGGUGAGUAACACGUGAGUAAUCUGCCCUUCACUCAGGGAUAACCACGGGAAACUGUGGCUAAUACCUGAUAUGACCCUUCCACGCAUGUGGUGGGGUGGAAAGUGUUUAGCGGUGAGGGAUGUGCUCGCGGCCUAUCAGCUUGUUGGUGAGGUAGUGGCUCACCAAGGCUUCGACGGGUAGCCGGCCUGAGAGGGUGACCGGCCACACUGGGACUGAGACACGGCCCAGACUCCUACGGGAGGCAGCAGUGGGGAAUAUUGGACAAUGGGCGAAAGCCUGAUCUAGCAACGCCGCGUGAGGGAUGACGGCCUUCGGGUUGUAAACCUCUUUCGCUCAUGACGAAGCGCAAGUGACGGUAGUGAGAGAAGAAGGACCGGCCAACUACGUG
rnacentral:rRNA from 1 species